rnacentral:rRNA from 1 species
UACGUGAGGGCGCAAGCGUUAAGUCCGGAAUUAUUGGGACGUAAAGAGCUGCGUAGGCGGUUUGUCGCGUCUGCCGUGAAAGUCCGGGCUCAACCUCCGGAUCUGGCGGUGGGUACAGGGCAGACUAGAGUGAUGUAGGGGAGACGUGGAAUUCCGUGGUGUAGCGGUGAAAUGCGCAGAUAUCAGGAGGAACACCGAUGGCGAAGGCAGGUCUCCUGGGCAUUAACUGACGCUGAGGAGCGAAAGCAUGGGGAGCGAACAGG